CAAAGGAGAAAUCCGCUAAAAGAUGGACUCGCGUCCAAUUAGCUAGUUGGUAGGGUAAAGGCCUACCAAGGCGACGAUUGGUAGCCGGACUGAGAGGUUGACCGGCCACAUUGGGACUGAGACACGGCCCAGACUCCUACGGGAGGCAGCAGUGGGGAAUAUUGCACAAUGGGGGGAACCCUGAUGCAGCGACGCCGCGUGAGGGAAGAAGGUUUUUGGAUUGUAAACCUCUGUCCUUGGUAAAGAAGCAAGACGGUAGCCAAGGAGGAAGCCACGGCUAACUACGUGCCAGCAGCCGCGGUAAUACGUAGGUGGCAAGCGUUGUCCGGAAUUACUGGGUGUAAAGGGAGCGUAGGCGGUUAUGCAAGUUGAAUGUGAAAUCUAUCGGCUCAACUGAUAGGCUGCGUUCAAAACUGUAUAUCUUGAGUGAAGUAGAGGCAGGCGGAAUUCCUAGUGUAGCGGUGAAAUGCGUAAAUAUUAGGAGGAACACCAGUGGCGAAGGCGGCCUGCUGGGCUUUAACUGACGCUGAGGCUCGAAAGCGUGGGUAGCAAACAGGAUUAGAUACCCUGGUAGUCCACGC
rnacentral:rRNA from 1 species